rnacentral:rRNA from 1 species
UUAAGUUAAUAAGGGCGCACGGUGGAUGCCUUGGCACUAGGAGCCGAAGAAGGACGUGACAAACGACGAUAUGCCUUGGGUAGCUGUAAGUAAGCGACGAUCCAGGGAUUUCCGAAUGGGGGAACCCAACAGGUACUACCUGUUACCCGCAUCUGUUAAGGAUGUGAGGAGGAAGACGCAGUGAACUGAAACAUCUAAGUAGCUGCAGGAAGAGAAAGCAAAAGCGAUUGCCUUAGUAGCGGCGAGCGAAACGGCAGGAGGGCAAACCGAAGAGUUUACUCUUCGGGGUUGUAGGACUGCAAUGUGGACUCAAAGAUUAUAGAAGAAUGAUUUGGGAAGAUCAGCCAAAGAGAGUAAUAGCCUCGUAUUUAAAAUAGUCUUUGUACCUAGCAGUAUCCUGAGUACGGCGGGACACGUGAAAUCCCGUCGGAAUCUGGGAGGACCAUCUCCCAACCCUAAAUACUCCCUAGUGACCGAUAGUGAACCAGUACCGUGAGGGAAAGGUGAAAAGCACCCCGGGAGGGGAGUGAAAUAGAACCUGAAACCGUGUGCCUACAACAAGUUCGAGCCCGUUAAUGGGUGAGAGCGUGCCUUUUGUAGAAUGAACCGGCGAGUUACGUUAUGAUGCGAGGUUAAGUUGAAGAGACGGAGCCGUAGGGAAACCGAGUCUGAAUAGGGCGAAUUAGUAUCAUGACGUAGACCCGAAACCAUGUGACCUACCCAUGAGCAGGUUGAAGGUGCGGUAAGACGCACUGGAGGACCGAACCAGGGCACGUUGAAAAGUGCUUGGAUGACUUGUGGGUAGCGGAGAAAUUCCAAACGAACUUGGAGAUAGCUGGUUCUCUCCGAAAUAGCUUUAGGGCUAGCGUCGACAUUAAGAUUCUUGGAGGUAGAGCACUGUUUGGGUGAGGGGUCCAUCCCGGAUUACCAAUCUCAGAUAAACUCCGAAUGCCAAUGAAUUAUGGUCGGCAGUCAGACUGCGAGUGCUAAGAUCCGUAGUCGAAAGGGAAACAGCCCAGACCACCAGCUAAGGUCCCAAAAUAAUUGUUAAGUGGAAAAGGAUGUGGGGUUGCACAGACAACUAGGAUGUUAGCUUAGAAGCAGCUAUUCAUUCAAAGAGUGCGUAAUAGCUCACUAGUCGAGUGACCCUGCGCCGAAAAUGUACCGGGGCUAAAACAAUUUACCGAAGCUGUGGAUACCUUUAUAGGUAUGGUAGGAGAGCGUUCUAUGUGUGAAGAAGGUGUACCGUGAGGAGUGCUGGAACGCAUAGAAGUGAGAAUGCCGGUAUGAGUAGCGAAAGACAGGUGAGAAUCCUGUCCACCGUAAGACUAAGGUUUCCAGGGGAAGGCUCGUCCGCCCUGGGUUAGUCGGGACCUAAGGAGAGACCGAAAGGUGUAUCCGAUGGACAACAGGUUGAUAUUCCUGUACUAGAGUAUGUAGUGAUGGAGGGACGCAGUAGGCUAACUAAAGCAGACGAUUGGAAGAGUCUGUCUAAGCAGUGAGGUGUGAUAUGAGUCAAAUGCUUAUAUCUAUAACAUUGAGCUGUGAUGGGGAGCGAAGUUUAGUAGCGAAGUUAGUGACGUCACACUGCCAAGAAAAGCUUCUAGCGUUUAAACAUACUCUACCCGUACCGCAAACCGACACAGGUAGUCGAGGCGAGUAGCCUCAGGUGAGCGAGAGAACUCUCGUUAAGGAACUCGGCAAAAUGACCCCGUAACUUCGGGAGAAGGGGUGCUGACUUUAAGUCAGCCGCAGUGAAUAGGCCCAAGCAACUGUUUAUCAAAAACACAGCUCUCUGCUAAAUCGUAAGAUGAUGUAUAGGGGGUGACGCCUGCCCGGUGCUGGAAGGUUAAGAGGAGUGCUUAGCGUAAGCGAAGGUAUGAAUUGAAGCCCCAGUAAACGGCGGCCGUAACUAUAACGGUCCUAAGGUAGCGAAAUUCCUUGUCGGGUAAGUUCCGACCCGCACGAAAGG